rnacentral:rRNA from 1 species
CAACGGUCGUUCGGGUAACCAUGUCUGUAGUUGUACCCCUCCACCUUUCAGUUGCCCUUUAGGGCCUUCCCUUUCUCCACUGAUAUCUGCUCUAACCACCUACUCAUGCCGCAUACUACCUGAGGGAGAAACCGCUGAAUCGCCAGACCUCGCUCGAUUGGAGCGGCCGAUAUCACAUUAGGUUGUUGCUGAGGUAAAGUCUCACCAAGCCCACGAUCUGUAGCUGGUCUGAGAUGAUGACCAGCCACACUGGGACUGAGACCCGCCCCAUACUCCUACGGAAGGCAGCAGUAGGCAAUUUUGGACAAUGGGCGCAAGCCUGAUCCAGCCUUGCCGCGUGCGGGAAGAAGGCCUUCGGGUUGUUAACCGCUUUUGUCAGGUAAGAAAAGGUUCUGGCUAAUACCUGGAACUCAUUACGGUACCUGAAGAAUAAGCACCGGCUAACUACGUGCCAGCAGCCGCGAUAAUACGUAGGGUGCAAGCGUUAAUCAGAAUUACUCGGCGUAAAUCGUGCUCAAGCGGUUAUGCAAGACUCACUUGAAAUCCCCUGACUCAACCUGGGAACUGCCUUUGUCACUGCUUGGCUAGAGUACGGUAGAGGGGGAUAGAAUUCCGCAUGUAGCAGUGUAAUGCCUAUAUAUGCGUAGGAACACCGAUGACAAUGCAAUCACCUGGACCUGUAUGACGCUCAUCACGAGAUGUGAAAAGCAACAGGAUAGAUACCUGGUAAUCCCGCCCUACCCAUGUAACUGAUUCUACGAGUCUUCUUCUCAUAUCUAGCUAUCGCUACAGUUUACCGCCUUGAAGCCUGUCCCAACUUCAACUCAUAGAACUCACGGGUACCCCACUAACCUUGAUGAUGUGUUUUAUUCGAUCAACCGAAAAACCUUACAACCUUGCCUAUCUGAAUCCUGAGAAGUUUUUGAUGCUCGAAGAUAUCUAAAAAUACGGCUGCAGGUCAUUAUAGUUUGAGUCUGAAAUGUGGGUUAAGUCCGUCAAGAUCCCAACCUUGUCAUAAUUGCUACGAAUGUCCCUGAAGGCACUUCCG